rnacentral:rRNA from 1 species
GACGAACGCUGGCGGCAUGCCUAAUACAUGCAAGUCGAGCGGAGUUAUGAUGGAGCUUGCUCCUGAUUAACUUAGCGGCGGACGGGUGAGUAACACGUAGGCAACCUGCCCUCAAGACUGGGAUAACUACUCGAAAGAGUAGCUAAUACCGCAUACGAUCUGAGGAUGAAAGCGGGGGACCUUCGGGCCUCGCGCGAUUGGAGCGGCCGAUGGCAGAUUAGGUAGUUGGUGGGAUAAAAGCUUACCGAGCCGACGAUCUGUAGCUGGUCUGAGAGGACGACCAGCCACACUGGGACUGAGGCACGGCCCAG